CCCCCCGCAGGACACAGAAGAUCGGCUGCCACCGAGGCGGGUGGCCCCACAGCUGGGUCAGAGGCCCUUGGUGCUCACGGACUCGGGGAAGCUUCUGCGGGAAGAGGGACCAGUUUAUUCAUUUUUGAGAGAAACAGAGUGCAAGUCUGGGAGGGGCAGAGAGAGACGGAGACACAGAAUCUGAAGCAGGCUCCACGCCCCGAGCUGUCGGCACAGAGCCCGCUGUGGGGCUCGAACUCACGGACCGCGGGAUCAUGAUCUGAGCCGAAGUCGGCCACUUAACCGACUGAGCCACCCAGGCGCCCCAGCCCUGGCCGACAUCUUGAUUGCAGCCUGUGAGAGACCCUGAAAGAAGGAAACUCAGGAGGCUGUGUCUGGAUUCCUGACCCACAGCAACUGUAAUACGUGUGUGUUGUUUCCAGCCACUGGUUGUGGGAUGUUUUGUUAUGCAGCAUUAGCUAACUGAUACAAGUGGGAUUGCUGGGUCGUGGAGCUGGUGGAGUUUACCUUCAUGGGAGAAACAGCCAGUCCUCUGCCCACAGACCCCUCCCUUGGGCAGGAUGGGGCAUCACUUUGUUUUAUUACCUUUGUUACUCUUCUCACUACCUGGCCACCUGAACUGUGUGCCUUUUAUUUCAUCACCAGGUCCCAGAGCAAGUCCCGGUAACCCAGACGGUGCUCGAUAAAUAUCCUGUGAAUACGCUA